rnacentral:rRNA from 1 species
AUUGAACGCUGGCGGCAUGCCUAACACAUGCAAGUCGAGCGAGUGGCGGACGGGUGAGUAAUAUAUGGGGAACUGCCUGGUGGAGGGGGAUAACUACUGGAAACGGUAGCUAAUACCGCCUACCCUCAGAUCUACCCAUAUCGGAUUAGCUAGUUGGUGAGGUAACGUCUCACCUAGGCGACGAUCCAUAGCUGGUCUGAGAGGAUGAACAGCCACACUGUGACGGAGACACGGCCCAGACUCCUACGGUAGGCAGCAGUGGGGAAUAUUGGACAAUGGGGGAAAGCCGGAUGCAGCCAUGCCGCGUGUAUGAAGAAGGCCUUCGGGUUGUAAAGUACUUUCAGUAGGGAGGCGGUACCGGCAGAAGAAGCACCGGCUAACUCCGUGCCAGCAGCCGCGGUAAUAC